CUACGGGCCGCUGCAGUAAGGAAUAUUGGACAAUGGAGGAAACUCUGAUCCAGCCAUGCCGCGUGAGUGAUGAAGGCCUUCGGGUUGUAAAGCUCUUUUAGGUGUGACGAUGAUGACGGUAACACCAGAAAAAGCCCCGGCUAACUUCGUGCCAGCAGCCGCGGUAAUACGAAGGGGGCGAGCGUUGUUCGGAAUCACUGGGCUUAAAGCGUACGUAGGCGGAUUAACAAGUCAGAAGUGAAAGCCCAGGGCUUAACCCUGGAAUUGCUUUUGAAACUGUUAGUCUGGAAUCCGGUAGAGGUUGGCGGAACUCCGAGUGUAGAGGUGAAAUUCGCAGAUAUUCGGAAGAACACCAGUGGCGAAGGCGGCCAACUGGACCGGUAUUGACGCUGAGGUACGAAAGCGUGGGUAGCAAACAGGAUUAGAUACCCGCGUAGUC
rnacentral:rRNA from 1 species